CAAAGGUUAGUUUAAUUAAAAUAUUAAUUUUGGGGGUUAAUGAUGGGAGUAUUCUUACCUUUGA
rnacentral:tRNA from 1 species